rnacentral:lncRNA from 1 species
GCUUUGCAACAGCUUGAGCAUACAUAUAUAUAUAUAUAUAUAUAUAUAUAUAUAUAUAUAGCAUUUGUAUGCUCAUUUUUUUUAUCAAGGUCAUAAUGGUAUGCAAGAUGUGAAAGUUAAAAUUAUUGAUAAAACUAAUGUUGCAUGUCCCACACAAAGAGAAGGUUUUUGGGCUUAUAAACUGAAUUCGUUUGAACCGCAUGGGUUGAAUUUAAAAGACUUUGUUUGAACAAUAGAGUUAAUCAAGCGAAUUAUUAUAAUUAGGGUAUGGACAGUUUAAAUAGUUGAAAUCAAGUGUACACAUGUAAUCUGAAGAAGGUGCUUGCCACGAAACGUAAUAAAAAGUUGUUAUAUGAGCUC